rnacentral:rRNA from 1 species
UACGGAGGGUGCAAGCGUUAUCCGGAUUCACUGGGCUUAAAGGGUGCGUAGGCGGAUUUGUAAGUCCGUGGUGAAAUCUCCAGGCUUAACCUGGAAACUGCCAUGGAUACUAUAAGUCUUGAAUAUUGUGGAGGUUAGCGGAAUAUGUCAUGUAGCGGUGAAAUGCAUAGAUAUGACAUAGAACACCAAUUGCUAAGGCAGCUGGCUACACAAAUAUUGACGCUGAGGUGCGAAAGCGUGGGGAGCAAACAAG